UCCUCGCCACCUUUCAGGAUCGUGCUGCUUCUACUGCUCAUGCAACCGGUUGGUACCAGAGAUGCUUUACCAGUAACAUCCACAAGAUGGCAAUAGACAUCACCGGCAUUGUCCUUUAGGGACCAAUUUGACUGCUAAUGUUCUCUGGAUGCUGAGAUGUUAAUGGUCGGGAUGCUCUUUACAGACAGUCACUCGUAUAACAGAGCCUCACAAAACUGGAGCAUCAGCAGCGCUGUGCGAUGGCCAAAGAGCGGCAUCAGCUUGAAGUUAGGAAUUAAAGCUUUUCAUUUCGUAUGGAUUGUAAUUUUAUGACAUAUGUUUUUUUAUGACUUCAGACUUCAUCCAUUGACUCUUAAGGAGGUCGAUUAAAGGAGUCAUUUACUCAAACUAUAAUGAAACAACAAACUUUGUAAGCCAAAUAAGACGCAGAAGAGAAAACCAGUUUGGAAUAUUGAUAUUUUAGAGUUGUGCAUUAGAGAAGACGUUCAAUUGUAUAAAGAGGUGGAAUUCUGCCUACUCUGAGGGGACCAACAGAGUUUGCUUCUAUUUCUGAUACAGCAGUCAUUUACAUGUAGAAUGUCGAAAUCAGAGUGAAUCUCAAUCUCCAAUGAAAAUCUUUGGGAUAAAGCAAAAUGGAUAAGUCUUUCCCCAGGGGAAGAUUGAUGUCAAUAAGCAGAAGGGCAAGCAAAUGAGUUUUGUGGCAGCUGACAAAGAAUGAAAACAUAAAAGGGGGGUCAGCGCUAAAGAAAAAAAAUGGGCAGCUGGCAAUAGGUAAAUCUACAGUACCCAAACAAACCAUCAAAGAAAACAAUGUAGAGCUUCCAAAUAUAGAAUAUUACAAACUUAAAGAGGAACUGCAGUCUGUAAUAAAAACAUCUGUACCACG